UGGAGGAUCGGAGCAGCACCGCCAGGGUCUGGCUACUGUCAAAUACUAAAACUCCCCACACAUCCAACCCAUCACACCCGGCUGCUACCCGAACAUGUUUGUCGCCCACAAAAUAGAAAGUAUAAGCUAGCCGCGGACGGGAAAGGAAAAAAAAAUGCAGCCUAAACAGACACACGGUGAGAGGUUAUGGGGAACUCGCGUCGCCCGGAUAGGAGAAAUUCUCCGAAAGGAGGAGACGAGAUCCAAACCCGACGAAACGAGGGGACUUGAUGUAACAGCCAAAGUACCAACCAUCCACUGCUACAUUAUAAAAUGUGUUGUUAUUACUCUUCACCUACAGCCCCUGAAGAGACUAUAAACGUGACGUCAAUGGGAGAAGACUGACGCGGCCAAAAGAGAGGAAAAACUCAACCAUCUGAGCACAAGCCACAUAGAGCAGCUUUAAUCACUCUCGUUCUUGACAUUUCUAGCUUUAAAUGGACGCUACAAAGGGCAAUUAUCUCCCUUUUAUCCCGACACCUCUAUAGCAAUAAAUAAAGGUAUUAAAAAAAACACGCACAAUAUUGGCUGGCGUG